CCUACGGGAGGCAGCAGUGAGGAAUAUUGGUCAAUGGGCGCAAGCCUGAACCAGCCAUGCCGCGUGCAGGAAGACGGUCCUAUGAGAUUGUAAAUCUGCUUUUAUAGCAGGAAGAAACACUCUCCACACGUGUGGGGGCUUGACCGGUAUCUGUAAGAAUAAGCAUCGGCUAACUCCGUGCC
rnacentral:rRNA from 1 species